UCCCCAGAUCCCCGAUGCAGCCCCCUGAUGAGCCUGAAGUAUUUUCCUUAUAUGAUUGGGCCCCAAGGCUGGCGGCGCCGCUUGCCUGGAGCCUAAGAGGAUUAUGACCACGCGUAGGCGAAGUGGGGCUAGGGGACUGGGG